GAUGAACGCUGGCGGCGUGCUUAACACAUGCAAGUCGAACGGAAAGGCCCAAGCUUGCUUGGGUACUCGAGUGGCGAACGGGUGAGUAACACGUGGGUGAUCUGCCCUGCACUUCGGGAUAAGCCUGGGAAACUGGGUCUAAUACCGGAUAGGACCACUUCUUGGAUGUUGUGGUGGACAGUUUUUUCGGUGUGGGAUGAGCUCGCGGCCUAUCAGCUUGUUGGUGGGGUAAUGGCCUACCAAGGCGUCGACGGGUAGCCGGCCUGAGAGGGUGUACGGCCACAUUGGGACUGAAAUAAGGCCCAGACUCCUACGGGAGGGAGCAGUGGGGAAUAUUGAACAAUGGGCGCAAGCCGGAUGCAGAGACGCCGCGGGGGGGAUGACGGCCUUCGGGUUGAAAACUCCUUUCGCUAGGGACGAAGCGUUUUGUGACGGUACCUGGAGAAGAAGCACCGGCUAACUACGUG
rnacentral:rRNA from 1 species